AGCUUUAAGUCUAUAUUUUAAGUAAUUUCUGCCCAGCGUAAUUUAUUAGCGGCCGCAGUACCUUGACUGUGCUAAGGUAGCAUAAUCAAUUGGCUUUUAAUUAUAGUCUGGAAUGAACGGAUUAAUAGGGAAGAACUGUCUCUUUUUAAUUUUAUUGAAAUUUUUUAUUAAGUGAAAAUACUUAUAUUUAGAUAAAAGACGAGAAGACCCUUAGAAUUUUUAUUAAAAUGUAAACUAAAACCAUAAAUUUUUGUUGGGGCGACAGUAAAUCACAUUAAACAUUUAAAAGUUUACAUGACAAUUAGAUUUAUAAGAGUAUAAUUACCUUAGGGAUAACAGCAUAAUUUCUUAUAAAGUUUGUGACCUCGAUGUUGGACUAGGAACUAAAUAACUAACCGUUAACAUCGACUGUUCUGUUC
rnacentral:rRNA from 1 species